CAAAGGUGCAUUGUAGUCGCAUUGUCCGUGUUAUAAGGAAGAAGUCGGCCAAUACUUCUGCAAUGCAAACUUUG
rfam:Glossina morsitans morsitans, isolate Yale, WGS project CCAG01000000 data, contig: ctg10002320